AAUAAACUAGAUUUUAUAAAUCGUUGAAAAAGGCACAGCAUGGGAUAUUCUACCUGUACACAUAAUUUGUUAUGAACUGUAACAAAAUUUCUGUAAACAGCCUUGAUUUAAAGCUCGUUAAAAGCUUUAAACCAAAAAAAACUUAAUAUCUGUGACCUCAAAUAACACAUCAUCGUUAAAUUCAAAAUAAAGUAUUUGAAAAACGUUUUAAAAUGCGAUCAUUCGCGACGCUUUUCAAUGGAUUGUGAAUAGAUUGUAAACAAACAACUUGGAUUUUAUGAGGUAGUUUACUACAAGCACGUGGGCAAUCUUUUUCGUCAAACUUACCUUUAAGGAAGACAGAAAAAUAGUUCAAAGCUAGCUAAAACUUAGGCUAAAAGGAUAGGAUAUCGUUCCCUAAACAGCACGAGACAUCCAUUCUACUUGCAAUACAAGCAGCUGUGUCCCAGGAAGAUAGUCUUUCCGGUUUCCUGUCACAUGUAUCCGUGGUCUUCCGUAACUCGUCCUCUGCAGUUGUCUGUCGGACCUUGCUGACUGUUGUAGCAAUAUUUAUUUUUAUCAUCGGUGUCAUUAGAUUUCGCGAGUGUCCAUAUGAACAAGAACUGCCAUUAUUUCUGGUGCUAGAAGGAGUUGCCAUUAUUCUUAAAACAUUUUUAAACUUAUUUAACACGUGUCACAGACGAACACACGAGGACAAUGAAAGGAAUACACUCGAUACGUGCACUGAUAUAUUAUCAAUUUUCUUGGUUUUCUGGACUUUAACCGGCUCUAUAUGGACAUUCGGAAUUUACCAGCACGUAAGGGAAGUAGCAGACGACACUGAGUCACGUGAUUGUAAUAAAUUAGUAUACACGUGCUCGAUAUGGUUUUUAAUAUCUAUUUAUAGCACUGUAUUAAUAGUUGUCGUCAUUGUUGCCAUUUUAAGUAUAUAUUAUUACAAUAAAACAAAUGAUACCAAAAAACAAUUACCAUAUGAAAUUCAUGUGGAGAGAUAGUAAAUAUUAUUGAAAUAUUGUUGUGUUUUAAAUGUUUGUUUGUAUUAUUUUUAUAAGUUAUUAAAAUGUUUCAAUGCA